rnacentral:rRNA from 1 species
GACGAACCACACGAACGUUAUUCGGAAUCAUUGGGCUUAAAGGGCGCGUAGGCGGCGGUGUAAGUUGGACGUGAAAUCCCAUCGGCUCAACCGUGGAAUUGCUCCCAGUACUGCAUCGCUCGAGGGGGAUAGGGGUCUGCGGAACUACCGGUGGAGCGGUGAAAUGUGUUGAUAUCGGUGGGAACGCCAGUGGCGAAAGCGGCAGACUGGACCCUUCCUGACGCUGAGGCGCGAAAGCUAGGGGAGCAAACGGG